rnacentral:lncRNA from 1 species
CUUAGGUUAUCAAUGGUCUAGAUUCAUCUGCUCCUUUUUUUUUAAUUAAUAGCUCCAAAAUAAUCAAAUUCCAUGAUGGCAUUCUAAUUCCAACUAUGGAAAGAGUCUCCCUGUCAGUGUCAUCUUAAGUAUUUGGUAUGCAAUGCCCCUACCAAUGUCCCUGUCAGUUUGAUUGAAGGGUGCUGGAGUUUGAAAUCAGAAUAGGAAUAGAUGAUUUCGAUUCUAAUUUUUUAGUUGG